rnacentral:rRNA from 1 species
AUUGAACGCUGGCGGCAUGCCUUACACAUGCAAGUCGAACGGCAGCACGGGGGCAACCCUGGUGGCGAGUGGCGAACGGGUGAGUAAUACAUCGGAACGUGCCCCGUAGCGGGGGAUAACCAGUCGAAAGACUGGCUAAUACCGCAUACGCUCCACGGAGGAAAGCAGGGGACCCGCAAGGGCCUUGCACUAGGGGAGCGGCCGAUGCCCGAUUAGCUAGUUGGUGAGGUAAAGGCUCACCAAGGCUACGAUCGGUAGCUGGUCUGAGAGGACGACCAGCCACACUGGGACUGAGACACGGCCCAGACUCCUACGGGAGGCAGCAGUGGGGAAUUUUGGACAAUGGGCGCAAGCCUGAUCCAGCCAUGCCGCGUGCGGGAAGAAGGCCUUCGGGUUGUAAACCGCUUUUGGCAGGAACGAAACGGCGCGAGCUAAUACCUCGCGCUAAUGACGGUACCUGCAGAAUAAGCACCGGCUAACUACGUGCCAGCCGCCGCAGUAAGAC